rnacentral:rRNA from 1 species
UACGUAGGGUGCGAGCGUUGUCCGGAAUUAUUGGGCGUAAAGGGCUCGUAGGCGGUUUGUCGCGUCGGGAGUGAAAACACCGGGCUUAACUCGGUGCUUGCUUUCGAUACGGGCAGACUAGAGGUAUGCAGGGGAGAACGGAAUUCCUGGUGUAGCAGUGAAAUGCGCAGAUAUCAGGAGGAACACCGGUGGCGAAGGCGGUUCUCUGGGCAUUACCUGACGCUGAGGAGCGAAAGUGUGGGGAGCGAACAGG